GAAGGUAUAGCUCAAGAGGUAGGGCGCAUGCUUAGCAGGCACAAGGCCCUGAGUUCAAUCCCCAGUACCUCCU
rnacentral:tRNA from 1 species